rnacentral:misc_RNA from 1 species
GAUGAAGAACGUAGCGAAAUGCGAUAAGUAAUGUGAAUUGCAGAAUUCAGUGAAUCAUCGAAUCUUUGAACGCACAUUGCGCCCGCCAGUAUUCUGGCGGGCAUGCCUGUUCGAGCGUCAUUUCAACCAUCAAGCCCCCGGCUUGUGUUGGGGACCUGCGGCUGCCGCAGGCCCUGAAAAGCAGUGGCGGGCUCGCUGUCACACCGAGCGUAGUAGAUUUCAUCUCGCUCAGGGCGUGCUGCGGGUUCCGGCCGUUAAACCACCUUCAUAACCCAAGGUUGACCUCGGAUCAGGUAGGAAGACCCGCUGAACUUAAGCAUAUCAAAAGCGGAGGA